CAAUAGCGUAUAUUAAAGUUGUUGCAGUUAAAAAGCUCGUAGUUGGAUUUGUGGCGUACGGUGGGUUCCGGGCACUUGUUGUCUGAGUAACUUGCUGUUGCCAUCCUUGGGUGGAACCUGUGUGGCAUUAGGUUGUCGUGCAGGGGAUGCCCAUCAUUUACUGUGAAAAAAUUAGAGUGUUCAAAGCAGGCUUAUGCCGUUGAAUAUAUUAGCAUGGAAUAAUGAGAUAGGACUUUUUUGCUAUUUUGUUGGUUUGCGCAAAGAGGUAAUGAUUAAUAGGGACAGUUGGGGGUAUUCGUAUUCCAUUGUCAGAGGUGAAAUUCUUGGAUUUUUGGAGGACGAACUACUGCGAAAGCAUUUACCAAGGAUGUUUUCAUUAA
rnacentral:rRNA from 1 species